rnacentral:lncRNA from 1 species
GGAUCCCCGCAGUCCAGCCACGCCAGCGAACACGCCAGUCCCGAGGAGCUGCUUCCGUCUGCGCGCGGGGACCGGCGCUGCCCCGAGGCUCUCGGCGCUGACCGGGAAGGGGCCGCCCGCUCCUGUCCCGGAGAGCAGGCUCCCUCCCGGGCGGAUCCUUUCGGUAAAUUUACAUCGGCUGUUUCUUUCUGCCCGGCCCUGGGUCUCGAAGGGAAAGGAACGGUUUGUUUUCUCUGCUUGCACGAUUUGUUUUAAAGCCGAUCCUUACCCGCUGGGCUCCGCGACCGAACCCUCGGCUCUCUGCCUGCACUCCAAAGAUAAAAAAUAAAAAGGGAUGGAACUUGGAACCUUACACUUGCAAGGCAGGUGCCGGAACCACUCAGGGAAGCACCCGCCAGAGAGGAAAGUGAAAGGGCUGCACAGCCAGCGCUGGGCACCAGCAGCCCCGCGACCCUCCAGGAAGGAAACCCUUCACACUUCAGCGGAAUGACACCAGCUGUCACUCAGCUCCCCAGGGAGG